UACGAAGGGUGCAAGCGUUACUCGGAAUUACUGGGCGUAAAGCGUGCGUAGGUGGUUUGUUAAGUCUGUUGUGAAAGCCCCGGGCUCAACCUGGGAAUGGCAAUGGAUACUGGCAAGCUAGAGUGCGGUAGAGGGUAGUGGAAUUCCCGGUGUAGCGGUGAAAUGCGUAGAGAUCGGGAGGAACACCAGUGGCGAAGGCGGCUACCUGGACCAGCACUGACACUGAGGCACGAAAGCGUGGGGAGC
rnacentral:rRNA from 1 species